CGUCCCCUCGUGUGAUUAGAAGGGAGUGAUUUCCACGUUUAUUUAAACAAUUUUUAAAGAGUUUAUUAGUUUAUUUAUUGUUUGUGCAGUGUUUGUUAGCUUCAAGUAUCAUCUGUAACUCUAAUUUAAAGCUAUUCAAUGGGACGUCUGUGAAUCGUGGUCCAUGGAUUUCGUGAGGAAACUUGGAAUCGACGACGAGACCGUGGAGGAUCCUGCAAAUGACGCUGUUUCAUUUCAUGUCCGGCUUUGCGGAAGAGUGCUUUGACCAAUGAGGGUUCCUUUGACGAGACAGUAAUCAACCAUGGAUCAAUGACGGAUCAACCAUGGGUCAAACUGAGAGACGUUGCGAGCGCAGUGGUGCAAGUCAACGAUCGAUGGUUUGCUGUUUAACGUGGACGGAGGUUCUGUUUGCUGAACAGUUUGCAGACUAUGUAUGCGUUCGCAGCUGCACUCUGAUUGGCUACUGUUC